rnacentral:rRNA from 1 species
UACGUAGGGGGCAAGCGUUGUCCGGAUUUAUUGGGCGUAAAGAGCGUGUAGGCGGUUUGGUAGGUCCGCUGUGAAAACUCGAGGCUCAACCUCGAGACGCCGGUGGAAACCAUCAGGCUAGAGUCCGGAAGAGGAGAGUGGAAUUCCUGGUGUAGCGGUGAAAUGCGUAGAUAUCGGAAGGAACACCUGUGGCGAAAGCGGCUCACUGGACCAUUACUGACGCUGAGGCACGAAAGCUAGGGGAGCAAACAGG